rnacentral:lncRNA from 1 species
GGAACCUCACAAAGAAUGGUGCAGUAUCCUGAAGUUAGCAAGAACCAGGAAGAUAUUAUUGGUCUAGGCCUGAACUAAUUGACAGAGAAUAUGGUGUAGCUAAAUGGAGAAUGCUGCCUGGAGAGCCAGAAAGCCAAACCACAAUGACUCAGCUGGGAUGAAGCUGGGGAAUAAAACCAGCACUCUCACGCUCCCUUACCUCCUCCAUGGAACUUCUGUUGUCAUCCAGUGGCUGAAAUCAACUGGAAGCCUACAGGGAAAGACCUGCCUCCUGGGACACAGAGCAGGCAUGGAAACAUCACAUUGCAGCAGAUGCUGGGGAUGCAGCAAUGAACAAGACAGGCCAGAUCCCUACUCUCAGAUAAACACAAUGAUCCAGGUCAGUAGGCAUUUGGUAGGAAUCUGCAUCAAACUGUUGGGCAAUGGUAGACAGCAACAUUGACGUCUGUAAAUUUACACUUGGAUUCUUAGUUUCUGGUUGGCUGCAUCCUUCUUCUGAAGGCCACUGCUCUUUUCAGAAGACCUCCCUAGAUGGCUAAGCUCUCUGGGUUGCAACAGUUGCUCUUUUUCCUUGAGCCUUAGGUUAGGGAGUUGGGAGGAAGUAAUGGCUUCCCCCACUGCUAGCUCCAGGGUGCUACACUUUCUCUUUUCUAGUUUCCCUAAUCUGGCUUACACCAUUAUAGAUAGACCCUUUAUUAAAAUAUCCUCAAUUUAUCCAUAU